CAGCCGCCGCGGUAAUACGGAGGGGGCUAGCGUUGUUCGGAAUUACUGGGCGUAAAGCGCACGUAGGCGGCUUGGUAAGUUAGAGGUGAAAGCCCGGAGCUCAACUCCGGAAUUGCCUUUAAGACUGCUGGGCUAGUAGGUGAGAGAGGUAAGUGGAAUUCCGGGUGUAGAGGUGAAAUUCGUAGAUAUUCGGAAGAACACCAGUGGCGAAGGCGGCUUACUGGCUCAUUCUAGACGCUGAGGUGCGAAAGCGUGGGGAGCAAACAGGAUUAGAUACCCCUGUAGUCCCUGUCUCUUAUAC
rnacentral:rRNA from 1 species